CGACACGCGCUGGCAACGUCCGGAUACCCCCGCCAUACGGCCCGGUCUGGGCCACCAAUAGCAGCAGCUGUUUCCCACACAACAAAGAAUGUUUAUACGUGGCAUUAUGGCACUUAAAUCGCGGCCACACGCAACGGACAGAGCCGCAUGCAUUCUACUACGAGAGAGCCCCGCUGCUGCCUGGCUGGAUCAUACUGGGACCUAACCCAAUUGCUUGAGUGUUGACGCUGCAGGAUGACCAAGGUGUGAUCCAUAACACCCACUGCAGGUCGCUGGUCGCUGGUCCUGCUUGCACGCGCCCGCUGCUAACCCCCUGCUCACCUCCAGCACGCCGUCACAUCCCUUGCGCGCAGCAUUGUCCACGGCAACAACCUCCUCAGAAGCGCGGGCCGCGAAACGCUGCGAGGCGAAGCCACGCUUGGCAUUCUGGGCGAAUGCCUCCAGCACGGGCGU
rnacentral:lncRNA from 1 species